AAACAAGUAAAAUCGUGCGGAUUUUAACAUCCAGGACUCUAAACCGUGUUGUUUUGGUUGCGUCUUCCUUCGAUCUCUCUGAGAUUGGUGGGAAGGCUUUGUUAUCAAAGCGUCAAGUCCAUCGGAGAGAUCAAUAUUUUUUGUUCAUCUUAGUGCCCUUUCCUCUAGCAAGGUAUUUAUCUCUACUUGCUGGUGGAGGGCCGGUAGAACUUACAUAC
rnacentral:snoRNA from 1 species